rnacentral:rRNA from 1 species
GAGUUUGAUCAUGGCUCAGGAUGAACGCUGGCGGCGUGCUUAACACAUGCAAGUCGAACGAACCUUCGGGUUAGUGGCGGACGGGUGAGUAACGCGUGGGAAUCUGCCCCCAGGAGGGGGAUAACGGUUGGAAACGACCGCUAAUACCCCAUAUGCCGAGAGGUGAAAUGAAUUUCGCCUGAGGAUGAGCCCGCGUCUGAUUAGCUUGUUGGUGAGGUAAUGGCUCACCAAGGCAUCGAUCAGUAGCUGGUCUGAGAGGAUGAUCAGCCACACUGGGACUGAGACACGGCCCAGACUCCUACGGGAGGCAGCAGUGGGGAAUUUUCCGCAAUGGGCGAAAGCCUGACGGAGCAACGCCGCGUGAGGGACGAAGGCCUCUGGGCUGUAAACCUCUUUUCUCAAGGAAGAAGAUAUGACGGUACUUGAGGAAUAAGCCACGGCUAAUUCCGUGCCAGCAGCCGCGGUAAUACGGGAGUGGCAAGCGUUAUCCGGAAUUAUUGGGCGUAAAGCGUCCGCAGGCGGCCUUUCAAGUCUGCUGUUAAAACGUGGAGCUUAACUCCAUCAUGGCAGUGGAAACUGAUUGGCUUGAGUAUGGUAGGGGCAGAGGGAAUUCCCGGUGUAGCGGUGAAAUGCGUAGAUAUCGGGAAGAACACCAGUGGCGAAGGCGCUCUGCUGGGCCAUUACUGACGCUCAUGGACGAAAGCCAGGGGAGCGAAAGGGAUUAGAUACCCCUGUAGUCCUGGCCGUAAACGAUGAACACUAGGUGUCGGGGGAAUCGACCCCUUCGGUGUCGUAGCUAACGCGUUAAGUGUUCCGCCUGGGGAGUACGCACGCAAGUGUGAAACUCAAAGGAAUUGACGGGGGCCCGCACAAGCGGUGGAGUAUGUGGUUUAAUUUGAUGCAACGCGAAGAACCUUACCAGGGCUUGACAUCCUGCGAACCUUUAAGAAAUUAGAGGGUGCCUUCGGGAACGCAGUGACAGGUGGUGCAUGGCUGUCGUCAGCUCGUGUCGUGAGAUGCUGGGUUAAGUCCCGCAACGAGCGCAACCCACGUUUUUAGUUGCCAGCAUUUAGUUGGGCACUCUAGAAAGACCGCCGGUGAUAAACCGGAGGAAGGUGUGGAUGACGUCAAGUCAUCAUGCCCCUUACGUCCUGGGCUACACACGUACUACAAUGCUACGGACAAAGGGCAGCAAACUCGCGAGAGCUAGCAAAUCCCAUAAACCGUGGCUCAGUUCAGAUCGUAGGCUGCAACUCGCCUACGUGAAGUAGGAAUCGCUAGUAAUCGCAGGUCAGCAUACUGCGGUGAAUACGUUCCCGGGCCUUGUACACACCGCCCGUCACACCAUGGAAGUUGGCCACGCCCGAAGUCGUUACUUUAACCCUUGUGGAGAAGGACGCCGAAGGUGGGGCUGAUGACUGGGGUGAAGUCGUAACAAGGUAACC